UGGGGAAUAUUGCACAAUGGGCGCAAGCCUGAUGCAGCCAUGCCGCGUGUGUGAAGAAGGCCUUCGGGUUGUAAAGCACUUUCAGCGAGGAGGAAGGUGGUGAACUUAAUACGUUCAUCAAUUGACGUUACUCGCAGAAGAAGCACCGGCUAACUCCGUGCCAGCAGCCGCGGUAAUACGGAGGGUGCAAGCGUUAAUCGGAAUUACUGGGCGUAAAGCGCACGCAGGCGGUUUGUUAAGUCAGAUGUGAAAUCCCCGGGCUCAACCUGGGAACUGCAUUUGAAACUGGCAAGCUAGAGUCUCGUAGAGGGGGGUAGAAUUCCAGGUGUAGCGGUGAAAUGCGUAGAGAUCUGGAGGAAUACCGGUGGCGAAGGCGGCCCCCUGGACGAAGACUGACGCUCAGGUGCGAAAAGGCGUGGGGAGCAAAACAGGAUUAGAUACCCCUGGUAGUCCAGCGCUGUAAAACGAUGUCGAUUUUGGAGGUUGUGCCCUUGAGGCGUGGCUUCCGGAGCUAACGCGUUAAAUCGACCGCCUGGGGAGUACGGCC
rnacentral:rRNA from 1 species